UCUUUCCGUAUCGGACUCUUGGAGUAUCCAUCCGCUAUUCACCCAGGUGGAGUGAAUGGUGAAUGGCAUUCAGCCUCUCUCCCGCCGCGUCGUCUCGCAGUCGGAGGCCUAUCCGCGCCUCACACUCCACCUCCUCCGUCGUGUCCAGGCUCUCCACGGCGCCCUUACCUCUCGCUCGCGCUGGCUGGACACCGCCCGCUUGGAUCCCGCACAGAGCCGGCUCUAGGCACUAGGCCGUGCCAAAGGGCGCCGCGGGCCGCCUCCUCGCACACCACGAUGGCGGCGCAGACCAGCCCCUCGACCUCCGUGCUGGGGCAGCGGCCCCGAACGUCAGGAUGCUCAUGCAGCAAAGAACGGCGAGUCGAGGUCGCCACGGUAGACAGGCCCAGGCGGCCGCCGGCCCGCGCGGAGGUCGCGGACGGGACGGGGCCCGGCGUCGACGCGCUCGUCGUGACGGGGGACGUGGUCGAGACUAGGGACAACUUCAAGCGCAGCAUGGGGGUGCUCAGGGCGCGGUUCGAGGCCGUCUUCUACGUGCCCGGGAACCACGACCUCUGGAUUCUCCCCUCUCCCUUCCUUGCCCUGCAACUGCAAGCAAGGUGUUUGACGAAAUGCCUUGCCGUAGCUGUUCUUGCAUAGCUUAGUCCACCUUGAACGAUACAGCUAGCGGCAGCUUAGCAGCUGAAUUUGAUCCAGCGGUACAUUGCAACUUUUUGGCUUGCAGUAGCAUGGUUGGUGCUUAUCCCCGUUUAGUAUGCUGCUUAGAGGCCUAAUUUUAGAGUCGACAAAGUGUACCUACCAAUGGAUUUCUCUCGCGGAGGAACAGGACCAGCAGUAGCCCACGCCUCACACUUCGACUCCUUGACCUCAUAGCGUUUCCCCUCCUGCACAUAAACCAAAAGGCCCCUGUAUUCUAUUCCUCCUCAACUAUGUUUAUACAAGACUACCUCCAAUCAGAUUACUAUGUGCUACUAUGUAAGUUUCCGUUACUUUAAUUUCUACACACUUUAUACUAACAAAAAUUUUACAUGUAUCUACAGGUAGCAACACCACCAACUGAUCCGAGAGAAGUGACGACUAGGAGUGAAAAAAGUGCUUGGGACAGUACAGAAAACCAUGGCGACAACAACAAGAAGCAUGACAAACAGCAAAGAAAUAAGCUUAAAAUUAAAGAAUGAUCAAAGGGCUACACAUCUAACACCAAGGCACACAAACGGAAGGACAUUUUGGUGUGCAGGAAACGGCAAUGUCGACAGCUGCUUUCGCUAAGUUGCAGAAACAACUUUUGUUAACACACACUCUCACUAAGUAUCUUUUAGUUCAAUACAUAGAACAAGAUAUACGAGGUGACAUCAGGUUUUACCAUACCUAACUUUUGUGCACGAAGAUUAUGUUAACUGCCUGUGCUAGGCCAUCGUAUAUGAAUUUCUGCAAUGCCUAGACUGCAACCAAUAUGCUGUAUUACAACUCGCUGCCCACAAUGUAUCCACAGUUUAGUGGUUCUUACUUUUACCGAAUCAGGGCAUUCGCCACAUUGUUCUGUUCCACCUGAACUGCCUUUCGACCAAUGGUCAAACCAGGACCUACUUCAAAUACAAUUCUUACCUAGAUUUAUGCAAAAUCCCUCAAACAAAAGAAAACUACAGCACAGUCAAAAAGGCCCAUCUAUGUUGAAGCCAGCUACCACACUGGCCAUUCGUGGCAACGCCACGAACAUUUCUAGUAUGAUGUUAUAGGCGUUACCAUGUCAACAUGUUGGUGAUUGUCUCAAUUUUGGAUCCUAACCAAGCAAGCUCUCUGUACCUUGCAAUUAGGCGUAUUUGGUAGUCUUCAAUUUGGGAUUGCUAAUGUUACUUUGAUGGAAUAUGAUGUUAUAGGCGUUACCAUGUCAACAUGUUGGUGAUUGUCUCCAUCAGUAAUCCAUCUAAGCUCUACAAGUCGCAAAAGGUAGGGCAGCAUGCACCUAUUGCAGUGGUCGGAUAUGGAUGAGGGCAACACCAUAUAGAAAGGGCCGCUAGCAACAAACCUAAGGGCAAUGACUCAUGGGCUUCCUUGCAGUGAUGCCAAAAGUGUUGUUGGUUGUAGGAGUAUUUGACAAUAGCAGCAUGAGAAGAUGUAAGGAAGAGAAAUCGGUGCCCACUGCCCACAGAUUCGUUGGUACCAAGUACCUUGAACUAUACCCGGCGGCAAAACCAUCAUUAUUGUUGUGGUGGUCACCGGAGUAGGUGAGCAAAUUUAAUGAAUAUUCAUCACUAGAAUUUGGUUGUUUCUAAUUUUGUCGUUGCUCUUUACCUCAUUGAUAAAAAAAGCCAAAAAUGGCAUCACCAAACUCAACUUUUCUACUGAAAGAGGCAUAGUUAUUUCUAUUCUCCUUUCCUAUGUUCUGUUCUCUCUUUUUCUUUCUUGCUUUCACUCUUCCCUUUCUCCCUGGGUACUCACUUCAUACCCAUAGUGUAGUGCAACUAGAGUUUUUUUUUGCAGUCUUUAUUACCUAUAGGAGUAAGGGUUUUGUUAAAAGGAAUAAGAAUUUGAUCAA